CUACAAUGAUGGCAGUACUUUUUGUCAACAGCAGUUCACCUAGUAAAUGUUGAUACUUUGGGUCUGAGUGG